GCGGCUCUCUGCGCAAAGGGCAGGGAAGGAAAGGAGCAGUAGCCGAGCCCUUGCUCGGGCCAGAGCCGAGGGCCCGUGGCCGCUGUGAUCUGGCCCUGGGCCCUGGAGGAAGCCCUCAUCACCUGAGAGCCGGGGCGGAGCUGCCUGAGGCCGGAGUUCGAAGUCCGGCCUUGCUAGGCCUCCGCCUCCGUGGGACCUCGGCGGUGAUCCGACCUGCGUGCCACCUCCCCGGGCGGAGAAGGAUCAGGCCAUCCCCACACCCACGUAGCCUGGGCCUCCACACAAUAGGCUGGAAACCAACUGCCUGCCACCCCUUGAUUUCUGCUCCGUGAGACGGAAACAUGAAGGAUCUGGAAAAUUACGGUAAAGAUACCCCAUCCCUUUCCCUCGGCACUGAGAGCUGUGGACUGGAUCGAGUCGGACUCAGGUGGACAUUAAAAAAAUAAACAACUUGGGAUUUGUCUCAGCAGCACUAAGUCCCUCUGCUGAAGGAGCCUCCUAGUCUCCUGGAUGAGAUGCCGGGCCUGUCCUCAGGCUUUCCCGGUCCCCUUCAGGUGUUGUCCCCAGCGGGCAUGUGCGUGAGGGCAGGAGUAAAACUGGAUGCUCGUUCCUGUGAGCAGUCGCGACGCCGAGGCCCAGCAGGCGGCAUUCGUGUCGCUAGAGGCCACCGCAGCACUGCUCUGAUCGGAGGAUGAAAGCCCAUCGUCUGACGUCGGAGAGACAUGUCCUCGACGCAGGCUCCAGAGAAGCAGCAGAGGCACAGCGCUCGUGGUUCACGGCUCCGCACUGCGAGUGAUGAGACGCCAGGGUCGCACCGUCCUGGCCCAAAGGCCUUCCAUGCCAGGAAGGGGCUUCCGAGGGGGACCUGGCCUCCUGCGCCCCGUCGGUCGUCAGGCCCUGCCUUUGGGAUGAGCUGCCUCGCCGAGCACUGUCCCCUAGAGUGACGGUGCUAAGACGGCAGGGAAGGUGGGGACGGCAGGGACAGCAGGGAGGGACAGUGGGGACAACAGGGAGGGCAGGGACAGCAGGGACGGCAGGGAGCUCAGGGGCCGAGGGGACAGGUGUGUGUGGACGGGCACCAGGGAGCUCAGGGGCCGAGGCCACGUGCCCAGUGGCAGGGCCGGGAUCUGAGCACACGCGGGAGGCCACCGCAGGGCCCUGUGUGCUCCGUCCACGGGGCCGCACCGUCCGUGAGCCGUUUUUAUAGUGGGAACGGCCUGGCCUCCAUCACUUGUCACACUGGGUGACCCCGGGUUGGGAUUUACCACUUACUAGUGCCGCGACUCGAGCCAGUCCCUGAGCCCCGUGAGCCCGUUUUGUCAUCUGGAAGAUGGUGUGCGCGUGCCCGCGUCAUGGGCCUGCUGGGGGGCCGACGACGUGCUGCCGAGUGCUCUGCCCCGGGCCGGGCCCUUGGCCGGCUUCCGAGGAACGUCCUUGCCCUGCCCCUGCCCCUGCCCCUGCCCAGCCGCCUUCCUCCGGGGCCCAGCAACGGAAGAAACGCUUCCCCCAGUUGCUCCUUGAGUGACUUCGCAAACACGACCUCCCUCACAAUUGGCUGAACAAACACCUUUUGGGGGGAAAUGAGGAGUGUUCCGCUGUGUGGAAGGAAGCACAGAUGCGAGGCCCCGGGCAACAAUGAGUUGCACGCUCACGACACUUGAAAUUGAGGAAAUCUGUGCUGCUAGUUGGGGGGAAAUACGGAGUGAUUCACAGGCCACGGCGUCCCAGCCGAUCCCAGAGCAGCUGCACGACACCGCGGUCGGGGUGACGCGUGGGGCCCCGCAGCCGCAAGGUGCGCUUCCAGUCAGUUGUUGCUAAUAAUAAUAAAAAAAAAAAGUAUGAAAGCUUGUGACUCCCC
rnacentral:lncRNA from 12 species